rnacentral:rRNA from 1 species
UGGGGGAUAUUGCACAAUGGGCGAAAGCCUGAUGCAGCGACGCCGCGUGGGGGAUGAAGGCUUUCGGGUUGUAAACCUCUUUCGCUAUCGAACAAGGCCCGCUUAGGGUGGGUUGAGGGUAGGUGGAGAAGAAGCGCCGGCUAACUACGUGCCAGCAGCCGCGGUAAUACGUAGGGCGCGAGCGUUGUCCGGAAUUAUUGGGCGUAAAGGGCUUGUAGGCGGCUUGUUGCGCCUGCUGUGAAAACGCGGGGCUUAACUUCGCGCGUGCAGUGGGUACGGGCAGGCUUGAGUGUGGUAGGGGUGACUGGAAUUCCAGGUGUAGCGGUGGAAUGCGCAGAUAUCUGGAGGAACACCGAUGGCGAAGGCAGGUCACUGGGCCAUUACUGACGCUUAGGAGCGAAAGCAUGGGUAGCGAACAGG